CGUUCGCGGUGCUGGGUCGGCUCGCCGGGCUGCCGACCCGGGUGGUGGUCGGGUUCGCCGCCCCCGGUUCCGGUCCGGUGCGGGCCGCC
rnacentral:tRNA from 1 species